AAACUUAAAGAAAUUGACGGAAGGGCACCACCAGGAGUGGAGCCUGCGGCUUAAUUUGACUCAACACGGGAAAUCUCACCCGGCCCGGACACCGCGAGGAUUGACAGACUGAGAGCUCUUUCUCGAUUCGGUGGGUGGUGGUGCAUGGCCGUUCUUAGUUGGUGGAGCGAUCUGUCUGGUUAAUUCCGAUAACGAACGAGACUCUGUCCUGCUAAAUAGUGUCUGCUUCUCUUUUGAGCAGACAAUUCUUCUUAGAGGGACUGGCGACUCUUAGUCGCACGAGAUUGAGCAAUAACAGGUCUGUGAUGCCCUUAG
rnacentral:rRNA from 1 species